AUGACAUGGCUUGGUGAACAAUGUUCUCAGAAGAUUAUAGCAACUCAUUCAAGGAAAUGCAUCGACAUGGGGCAGAAAGCUGCUCGUAAAGCAAUUUCACAGCAAAUUUGUGGUUGGAUCCGGAUAUGUUUUCAGUCGUAUUUUUUAAAUGCAGUACAGGCAAAGCUUUCCGCUCUCACCCGCUGUGCGCUUCACUCUGCUGAAGCCCGACUCAUUUUCUUCCCACCUCACAUAGACACAGGAUGAAGUCGAGCAGAAACAACAAGACUGAGGAUCAGCGGAGGUCCAGCACACUGGGCUCAUGUCUCCUCUCUGUGGCCUUGUAUUUACCGCUCUGACAACUUUUCUAUUUAACUGGGGGGUUUUUCUACAUAUGCACUCUUAUUUUCAAGGAUUCUCCAAUGUGAGGGUUGCUGCGGCUGCUGCUGGCGCGUGUUUGUAUGUUUAGUGACCGGUUGUGUGAUUUCAGCUGGAAUAAACUCUGUCUGACACCGCGGUCGGUCCUGGUUCAAAGGCUUGAGGAAGCGUGUGUGUGUAUGUGGAUCCAGAGGGAUGUGCUAAAGCACUGAUUAGUCUCUUGUGCUCGUGCUGUUGUCUUUACCUGCUGGCAUCUGCCAAGUCCGUUCACCCACACGCUUGUUCAUUGACCUUAAUAAGUCAAGCACAUACUCAAUUGUCCAUUUCUUCUGCCAGGCUGGAGAUAAUGAAGGUGCCCUCGCCCGGACCUAAUGUACUCCUUGUUUCAGUGGAACUUAAGGAUGAUGUGAUGAGUAAUUAUCUUGAUGUUAAAAAACUUUCUCUAACCUUGUUUAAUGUGCAAAGAGUGUAAGCUGUAAGUAAGCCAUUGUAGGCUUAGACAUUCAGAAUUAGUUUAUCUUUGCUUUAUUUUUCUCUUUAUUGUUGCGGUUUUGCUGAGUAGAGCUGAUGCAUUUACAAGGCCUUUUGCUGUUCUCAGUGCUUUUACAAUAAUGAGCUAGAACCUGAAGGUAACUUGAUUUUGUAACAUAUAGACAUCUUUAGACCUUCAGUUCUAAAUCACAGUGUGAAUAUGAUGAUAUCCUCAACAUGAAACCGUGUGCUUCACAUCUUUGAUCUGGAUCUGUCUGCUAAAUCAAUAUCUCUUUAUUUAUGCCUGCCUUAUUUAUGUUUAUUGAAAUGCAAUAAAAUAAUGAAAUUGAACACGUUUUUUACAGUAUGUUUUCGUCAGCUUUGAUGCAGCAAAUUCAAAUAAAUUAAUGCAAACUCUUCUGAUUAUUA
ensembl:lncRNA